CCUACGGGAGGCAGCAGUGGGGAAUAUUGCACAAUGGGGGAAACCCUGAUGCAGCAACGCCGCGUGAGUGAAGAAGUCAUUCGUGAUGUAAAGCUCUAUCAGCAGGGAAGAAAAUGACGGUACCUGAGUAAGAAGCCCCGGCUAACUACGUGCCAGCAGCCGCGGUAAUACGUAGGUGGCAAGCGUUAUCCGGAUUUACUGGGUGUAAAGGGCGUGUAGGCGGGACUGCAAGUCAGAUGUGAAAACCACGGGCUCAACCUGUGGCCUGCAUUUGAAACUGUAGUUCUUGAGUACU
rnacentral:rRNA from 1 species